rnacentral:lncRNA from 1 species
CCAUGCCAAUGUGGUUUGGCUGGACUGUGAGUGCUUGAUGCAGUCUGAUGGGAGGAUGGGGGUGGCGCAGAGAACAUUGAAAUCAGAAGGGAUUCUGCUCUGUAGAGACAAAGGAGCCGCAGAGACAUAGACAUGGAUCUGGGAAAUACACCUUUUGCUACUCGUUCAGUUUUAGCAAGGAGGUUUCUGGCAUGGCUAAGCAAAACUUAAAUUUCCUCUGAGAAUUACAGGAAUUACAGGACCUGACAAAGCUAUAAAACCUAUAGGAAGAAAAUCUCAACCAGAAACAGUAUGGCAGAAUUGGGAUCUGACUCACAGAGGGAAGAACUUAUAAUUCUUCACAGGGCACAUAGAAGCAUGAGAAUUUGGGUUCAAGCAAGUAAAUUCUAAAUUAGAAUCCAUACAUAAAGUGUUUGCAAUGUCCAGUUAUAUCUCC